rnacentral:rRNA from 1 species
UACAGAGGUCCCAAGCGUUGUUCGGAUUCACUGGGCGUAAAGGGUGCGUAGGCGGCCAACUAAGUCAGACGUGAAAUCCCUCGGCUUAACCGGGGAACUGCGUCUGAUACUGGAUGGCUUGAAUCCGGGAGAGGGAUGCGGAAUUCCAGGUGUAGCGGUGAAAUGCGUAGAUAUCUGGAGGAACACCGGUGGCGAAGGCGGCAUCCUGGACCGGCAUUGACGCUGAGGAGCGAAAGCCAGGGGAGCAAACGGG